rnacentral:rRNA from 1 species
AGUAACACGUGAGCAACCUGCCUUUCAGAGGGGGACAACAGUUGGAAACGACUGCUAAUACCGCAUAAAAUAACGGAACCGCAUGAUUCUGUCAUCAAAGGAGAAAUCCGCUGAAAGAUGGGCUCGCGUCUGAUUAGAUAGUUGGUGAGGUAACGGCCCACCAAGUCGACGAUCAGUAGCCGGACUGAGAGGUUGAACGGCCACAUUGGGACUGAGACACGGCCCAGACUCCUACGGGAGGCAGCAG